rnacentral:tRNA from 3 species
GCCACCAUAGCUCAAUUGGCAGAGCACCUGUUUUGUAAACAGGUUGUUCUGGGUUCGAGUCCCAGUGGUGGCU